CCUACGGGAGGCAGCAGUGGGGAAUUUUGGACAAUGGGCGCAAGCCUGAUCCAGCCAUUCCGCGUGAGUGAAGAAGGCCUUCGGGUUGUAAAGCUCUUUCGGCAGGGAAGAAACGGUGCGGGCCAAUACCCCGCACUAAUGACGGUACCUGAAGAAGAAGCACCGGCUAACUACGUGCCAGCAGCCGCGGUAAUACGUAGGGUGCGAGCGUUAAUCGGAAUUACUGGGCGUAAAGCGUGCGCAGGCGGUUUCGUAAGACAGAUGUGAAAUCCCCGGGCUCAACCUGGGAACUGCGUUUGUGACUGCGAGACUCGAGUGCGGCAGAGGGGGGUGGAAUUCCACGUGUAGCAGUGAAAUGCGUAGAGAUGUGGAGGAACACCGAUGGCGAAGGCAGCCCCCUGGGUCGACACUGACGCUCAUGCACGAAAGCGUGGGGAGCAAACAGGAUUAGAUACCCUGGUAGUCCACGCCCUAAACGAUGCCAACUAGGUGUUGGGGAAGGAGACUUCCUUAGUACCGAAGCUAACGCGUGAAGUUGGCCGCCUGGGGAGUACGGUCGCAAGAUUAAAACUCAAAGGAAUUGACGG
rnacentral:rRNA from 1 species